ACUUCCGCUUAUUGCAUUGAUCGACAAACAACAACUACUAUGACAUAGACAGAUUUCUAACAACAAAUCACCGGAGAGUGCUGACUUCAGCCUACCAUGUUUUACGGAAAACGAACCAAAACAGCCUAAUACGGAAUACGAACCAAAAUCAACCUAAAAUGUCUCUGUUAACACCGAAAACGAUCGUAAUUACCACCGUCCCCGGGAAGACGCAGUCCAGACCCAUCACUGUACAGGCCCCAAUGGACGUGGACUAUUAUUCGGAGGAUCAGGAUGGAGGGCCAAGAAAGAGGCGUCGGCUAACGCACCUGUCUCCAGAGGAAAAAAUGAUGCGAAGAAAAUUGAAGAACCGUUGUAGCAGCACAAACUGCACGUGACAGGAAGAAAGCCAUGAUGAGCGACCUCGAAAUCCAAGUAGCAAAAUUGAUGGAAGAAAACAAACGUCUACAAAGAGAAAACAGUAACCUCAAACACAGAUCUUCUGCCUUGUUGACGGAAAACUCGUCGCUGAAGGAACGUCUUGGAUCGGACGGUUCGCUGGUGAAGCUGGAGGAGGGGACCUCGGGAUCUGCAGUAUCCUCAGUCUCUCUGCCGCGGGGACACGCCCCUUCUCCAUCUCUACCAGUGAUGCCUUACGUUCUAACUCUGUGUCUUUACUUGGCAAUGUACACAAAAGUGCAAGUUCCCCCGAGCAAGCUACAGACAUUGAUGUCAAACCUGUAUGCCAGCUCCAAAUUAAGCCAAGCGGAGAUACCCAACCUGGAGCCGAUUCUUCAGUGGUGGGGCCGUCACCAGCAGAAUUGGAAUCCAUCAAUGAACUGAUUAAAUUUGAUCAUGAGUAUUAUAAAAUCGAACCCCUCACCCCAGAGCCCGACUUGGAGGUCAUCAUCGAUUCAGGAGCAAAUUCUUCCGUUGAAAUUCAAUCAGACACAAUGUGCAGUGUUCAAAACCUAAAAACCGAAUUUCCUUCUCAAAAGGAUUGUGUUCAGACAAUUUCUGAGGACUCCCUUGUUUCUUCUAUUGAAGACUUUGUGGACUUAGAAAAAGAAGUGUUGAAUGUUUUGCCAGAGAUAAACAUUGAUCUUCUGAAUGAAAUUGAAAGCCUCAUUGAAGAUGACCUCCAUUCUCAGGCCAUUCCUGAUUCCACAGAUGAAGUUUCACAAAAUGGACAGAUCUUGCUGCCAGUCGAACAGAAUAAGAAACUUCAGAGUGAACUGUUGCCACCAGUAGAAGAGAAAAGUUCUCUGAAGAGGAAACACUCCCAGACAUGUACUUCUUCAUCGAGGCUGGCUCGCCCUACAGUGACAUUUCUGGAGGGCUGUCAGAUAAUGUCUGGGAGGAAUCUUUCUGUGAACUAUUCCCUGACCUGAUGUAAAUGGUUACUGUGAAGUUCAUUGUUCUGUACAUACAUACAUGUACAUUUAUACUCUAUAUUCUCAUAAUUUAUUCAGAAGGGGUGCCUUUCUCUCAUUUUAACAUGUACAUAAUGUUCAUUUUGUGAAAUAAAUCUUAUGGAAAAUGG
rnacentral:misc_RNA from 1 species